UAUGGUAUACUAGGUCCAUAUAUAAGAUUGGCACUAAUAGUUGCAAAAACCGACCAAGUGUGAUUGCUAAUUUGGUGUAUAUAUCUUGUCUAAUAUUCCUUUCCUCCUACCCCAAUAAAAAUCUAAGUUCAAAAAUGAGCUGAUGCUUGGUAAGGCCUGUGCUGUAUAUCAACCCAACUUUAACCUUCCUCCACACGAGUAGUAAAUGUUCUGUUUUCAGUGGAUUUUUUGGGCCUACUUCACUUUCCAAUAGUUACUGAAGAAUAUAUACAGUCGUAAGAAUACAUACUGAUAUUUGAGUUUGAUCAACUUAUUGUUUCAUCUUAUGCAGAUAAUCAAUCGACAGCAACCUUUCUGCAAAAUCCUAAAGGACUACAAAAUGUGAUUCUAGCUAGUCUAGCUAUGGAGAAAAAUCAAAGAGCAGCAGAGACUAUUGACAAUUCGGAAUCAUUUUAUACCAUGCACUUCUACAAAGUGAAGGCUACUGUUCAUGCAUUGUACUUUUACAACCUUUACGUCACUUUCAUUCCCACUUUCAGCUCAAGAAUAUAUAUAUAUAUAUAUAUAUAUAUAUAUAUAUGGGUUCCGUCCACAGAAACCGGUUGUUGUGGAGCAACCCAUUUUUAAGCCUUGUGUCAAUUUUUUUUUUACUCCAACCGCUACAACACAAGGCUAAAAAAGAGGUUGUUCCACAGCAACCGAUUGCUGUGGAUGGAACCUAUAUAUAUAUAUAUAUAUAUAUAUGAAUCUUCAUCCGUAUCAACCCGGUUGCCAUGACAACCAUAAUCUUAAUUGUUGAUCCUCAUAAUAAAAAGGUUGAAAUUAAAAGCAAUAUAUAUGUUGUUUUUAGAUAUUAGUAUUUGAAUAUGUGUAUGCCAUAAAUUGAUGCACUUAAUUUGG
rnacentral:lncRNA from 1 species